rnacentral:rRNA from 1 species
UACGUAGGUGGCAAGCGUUGUCUGGAUUUAUUGGGCGUAAAGCGAGCGCAGGCGGUUCUUUAAGUCUGAUGUGAAAGCCCACGGCUCAACCGUGGAAGGUCAUUGGAAACUGGGUCACUUGAAUAUAGAAGAGGAAAGUGGAAUUCCAUGUGUAGCGGUGAAAUGCGUAGAUAUAUGGAGGAACACCAGUGGCGAAGGCGACUUUCUGGUCUAUUAUUGACGCUGAGGCUCGAAAGCAUGGGUAGCGAACAGGAUUA